rnacentral:rRNA from 1 species
UACGGAGGGGGCUAGCGUUGUUCGGAAUUACUGGGCGUAAAGCGCGUGUAGGCGGCUAAGUAAGUCGGGCGUGAAAUCCCACGGCUCAACCGUGGAAGUGCACUCGAAACUGCAUAGCUAGAGUCCUGAAGAGGAAAGCGGAAUUCCACGUGUAGCGGUGAAAUUCGUAGAUAUCAGGAGGAACACCAGUGGCGAAGGCGGCUUUCUGGACGGUAACUGACGCUGAGACGCGAAAGCGUGGGGAGCAAACAGG